GGUAGCUUGGUUGGUUAGAGCAUGGUGCUGAUAAUGUCAAGGUUGCAGGUUCGAUCCCCGUAAGGGACA
rnacentral:tRNA from 1 species